CUUCAACCUCUCUCGGUAACAACACAUCUGCACGACUGUUGCGGUUGUUUAACUUUCAGCUUCAAUUAAAUAAUAUCGAUUUCACUAAGCAACCCAAUAUGCGGACUUUAGACAUUGUUUGCUGUAAACCUAUAUGUUUCAGCCGGUCUUUUUGUGAUGAACACCGUCUCCGGUGACCUCUGCUUGUGUAAAGUCCGCUGCUUGUGUAACAUGAACGUUAGCUAACAGCGUUAGCUAGCGUUAGCUGCACCACAGUCAGUACCUGCUGCUGUAGCUGUGGAGCUAGUUAGCUGCCUGUUCAAACAGCCAGCUCGUAGUAAGUUUUGAGAUGUUUGCCCAAGUGAGAACACGUCUGGGCUCGACUUUGGCCAGACUGCCCAGCUGUUUAGGUUCAAGGGCGACAAGAGGAGUAACGCCUGCCCUCUGCAAACACCAACACCGGAGUUUGAGCACAGAGUCUGCUGGUGUCCGGGUGCUGUACGAUGGCCUUUGUCCCAUAUGCGUGACAGAGAUCCGUUUCCUCGAGUUUCUGCAGAGAAAUGAGUCCGGCAAAGUACAUUUUAUUGACAUCGCCUUGCCAGAUUAUGAUGGAGCAAAAUACCACAACGUCACCUAUGAGAUGGCCAUGGAGGUGAUGCAUGUGAUCGAUGAGAAUGACCAGAUUCAUCGCGGCAUCCCAGCGUUUGCAGUCAUGUACAGCGCAGUGGGCCUCGGCUGGUUGGGUCGCUUCAUGAUGUGGUCGCCUGUGAGGCCGUUUAUGGACAAAUCUUAUGCCAUCUUUGCAAAGAAUCGCCUUAAGUGGACCGGACGUGGGGAGGAGUGCGUGGCAGGACGCUGUGAAAAGAAAAUACGGUGAUUCUUGACCUGAAGAAGAAAAGGGAACUGUUCAAACAGGUUAUGAAGAAGUGCAUAAAUACCUCAUGGUCGAUCCUGUAUAGCCACUGACAUUAAAGGUUAAUAUAUGUUGCUGAAAGUGAA